UCGCCCUGCUUCGGCUCGCGCACGGUGCGCACACACACUGGCCUGCGCCCACUGUCUGGCACUCCCUAGUGAGAUGAACCCGGUACCUCAGAUGGAAAUGCAGAAAUCACCGUCUUCUGCGUCGCUCACGCUGGGAGCUGUAGACCGGAGCUCGAGAACUACUUUUUAAUGAGGGCUUGGGAUUAGCCAUUGCCAUAGAAUGGAGUGAAUAACAGAGAAGAGAAACUGUGACUAAUUUAAGAGUGAUAAUCAUACAAUUGCAAUUUGGAGAAGAUUGACCUGAAAGAACUGCAGAGGAAGCAUGCUCUUUGUGUAAGAAAUCCUUAAAUUCCACACAAAAUCUAUAUAGUCUUCCUGGACAUGAUGCAUAAGGAAAUCCUAAGACUGCAUGCCGAGUUUAACCAAUUAAACUGGAAUAAACUGGAAUGAAUUUGCAUUUGGGAAGUAAAACACUAUCCAAGGGGCAUAAGAACAGCUGGGCUCCUACUGAAGGAGACACAUAUGGUGUUCAUUGUGGGGUUUUGCUUCUUAUUCCCUUUGAGUAAGAAUAAAAUGAUCUUAUUUUUUGCUCUUCAA
rnacentral:lncRNA from 10 species